rnacentral:rRNA from 1 species
GACGAACGCUGGCGGCGUGCUUAACACAUGCAAGUCGAACGGUAAGGCUCCAGCUUGCUGGGGUACACGAGUGGCGAACGGGUGAGUAACACGUGGGUGACCUGCCCUGCACUUCGGGAUAAGCCUGGGAAACUGGGUCUAAUACCGGAUAGGACCAUGGUGUGGAUACUGUGGUGGAAAGUUUUUUCGGUGUGGGAUGGGCCCGCGGCCUAUCAGCUUGUUGGUGGGGUAAUGGCCUACCAAGGCGGCGACGGGUAGCCGGCCUGAGAGGGUGGACGGUCACAUUGGGACUGAGACACGGCCCAGACUCCUACGGGAGGCAGCAGUGGGGAAUAUUGCACAAUGGGCGGAAGCCUGAUGCAGCGACGCCGCGUGGGGGAUGACGGCCUUCGGGUUGUAAACUCCUUUCACCAUCGACGAAGGGUUUCUGACGGUAGAUGGAGAAGAAGCACCGGCUAACUACGUG